GUCGUUCAGGUGCACGCGGAGGCGGAGCGGCGUGCGGCGCGGCGCGGUCGAGAGGUGAUGAGUAGUUGACGCGGAGCAGAUAUAUAUGGAUGGAUGGCGUCGUCGUCGGUCGGACGACGGCGAGGUCGCGCGCAUCACGCGCGGGCGUAGCUGCGGGCGAGGUGGGCGGCGCGGAGGUCGGCGGCGUCGGCGCCGCCGGCGAAGUUGGAGGGCCGGUAGUGGCCCGUCACGGGGUCGGGCACCCACGACACCUCCCUCGCCGCCGACGACGACGACCCGUCCUUCGCCUGCGUCAUCCCCGCAGCGCCCUUCCCUUCCACCGCCGCCGCCGCCCGCCUCAUCGCCGACGACGCCGCCGACGCGGCGUAACCCCUCGUCGUCGUCACCCUCGCCGCGAGCGCCCGCGCCGCGGCGGCAGCGGCAGCAGCAGCAGAGGUGGAGAGAGCGAGAGCCAUCGGAUCACUCGAUCGGACGGCUGAUGGCGCUCCGCUCCUCUCCUUCUCUACUCUGCUUCGGUGCGACGCGACUUGGGCUU
rnacentral:lncRNA from 1 species